rnacentral:rRNA from 1 species
UUAAGCGACUAAGCGUACACGGUGGAUGCCCUGGCAGUCAGAGGCGAUGAAGGACGUGCUAAUCUGCGAUAAGCGUCGGUAAGGUGAUAUGAACCGUUAUAACCGGCGAUUUCCGAAUGGGGAAACCCAGUGUGAUUCGUCACACUAUCAUUAACUGAAUCCAUAGGUUAAUGAGGCGAACCGGGGGAACUGAAACAUCUAAGUACCCCGAGGAAAAGAAAUACAACCGAGAUUCCCCCAGUAGCGGCGAGCGAACGGGGAGCAGCCCAGAGCCUGAAUCAGUAUGUGUGUUAGUGGAAGCGUCUGGAAAGGCGCGCGAUACAGGGUGACAGCCCCGUACACAAAAAUGCACAUGCUGUGAGCUCGAUGAGUAGGGCGGGACACGUGGUAUCCUGUCUGAAUAUGGGGGGACCAUCCUCCAAGGCUAAAUACUCCUGACUGACCGAUAGUGAACCAGUACCGUGAGGGAAAGGCGAAAAGAACCCCGGCGAGGGGAGUGAAAAAGAACCUGAAACCGUGUACGUACAAGCAGUGGGAGCACAGAGCAAUCUGUGUGACUGCGUACCUUUUGUAUAAUGGGUCAGCGACUUAUAUUCUGUAGCAAGGUUAACCGAAUAGGGGAGCCGAAGGGAAACCGAGUCUUAACUGGGCGUUAAGUUGCAGGGUAUAGACCCGAAACCCGGUGAUCUAGCCAUGGGCAGGUUGAAGGUUGGGUAACACUAACUGGAGGACCGAACCGACUAAUGUUGAAAAAUUAGCGGAUGACUUGUGGCUGGGGGUGAAAGGCCAAUCAAACCGGGAGAUAGCUGGUUCUCCCCGAAAGCUAUUUAGGUAGCGCCUCGUGAAUUCAUCUCCGGGGGUAGAGCACUGUUUCGGCAAGGGGGUCAUCCCGACUUACCAACCCGAUGCAAACUGCGAAUACCGGAGAAUGUUAUCACGGGAGACACACGGCGGGUGCUAACGUCCGUCGUGAAGAGGGAAACAACCCAGACCGCCAGCUAAGGUCCCAAAGUCAUGGUUAAGUGGGAAACGAUGUGGGAAGGCCCAGACAGCCAGGAUGUUGGCUUAGAAGCAGCCAUCAUUUAAAGAAAGCGUAAUAGCUCACUGGUCGAGUCGGCCUGCGCGGAAGAUGUAACGGGGCUAAACCAUGCACCGAAGCUGCGGCAGCGACGCUGAUGCGUUGUGGUAGGGAGCGUUCUGUAAGCCUGUGAAGGUGUGCUGUGAGGCAUGCUGGAGGUAUCAGAAGUGCGAAUGCUGACAUAAGUAACGAUAAAGCGGGUGAAAAGCCCGCUCGCCGGAAGACCAAGGGUUCCUGUCCAACGUUAAUCGGGGCAGGGUGAGUCGACCCCUAAGGCGAGGCCGAAAGGCGUAGUCGAUGGGAAACAGGUUAAUAUUCCUGUACUUGGUGUUACUGCGAAGGGGGGACGGAGAAGGCUAUGUUGGCCGGGCGACGGUUGUCCCGGUUUAAGCGUGUAGGCUGGUUUUCCAGGCAAAUCCGGAAAACUAAGGCUGAGGCGUGAUGACGAGGCACUACGGUGCUGAAGCAACAAAUGCCCUGCUUCCAGGAAAAGCCUCUAAGCAUCAGGUAACAUCAAAUCGUACCCCAAACGACACAGGUGGUCAGGUAGAGAAUACCAAGGCGCUUGAGAGAACUCGGGUGAAGGAACUAGGCAAAAUGGUGCCGUAACUUCGGGAGAAGGCACGCUGAUAUGUAGGUGAAGUCCCUCGCGGAUGGAGCUGAAAUCAGUCGAAGAUACCAGCUGGCUGCAACUGUUUAUUAAAAACACAGCACUGUGCAAACACGAAAGUGGACGUAUACGGUGUGACGCCUGCCCGGUGCCGGAAGGUUAAUUGAUGGGGUCAGCGCAAGCGAAGCUCUUGAUCGAAGCCCCGGUAAACGGCGGCCGUAACUAUAACGGUCCUAAGGUAGCGAAAUUCCUUGUCGGGUAAGUUCCGACCUGCACGAAUGGCGUAAUGAUGGCCAGGCUGUCUCCACCCGAGACUCAGUGAAAUUGAACUCGCUGUGAAGAUGCAGUGUACCCGCGGCAAGACGGAAAGACCCCGUGAACCUUUACUAUAGCUUGACACUGAACAUUGAGCCUUGAUGUGUAGGAUAGGUGGGAGGCUUUGAAGUGUGGACGCCAGUCUGCAUGGAGCCGACCUUGAAAUACCACCCUUUAAUGUUUGAUGUUCUAACGUUGACCCGUAAUCCGGGUUGCGGACAGUGUCUGGUGGGUAGUUUGACUGGGGCGGUCUCCUCCUAAAGAGUAACGGAGGAGCACGAAGGUUGGCUAAUCCUGGUCGGACAUCAGGAGGUUAGUGCAAUGGCAUAAGCCAGCUUGACUGCGAGCGUGACGGCGCGAGCAGGUGCGAAAGCAGGUCAUAGUGAUCCGGUGGUUCUGAAUGGAAGGGCCAUCGCUCAACGGAUAAAAGGUACUCCGGGGAUAACAGGCUGAUACCGCCCAAGAGUUCAUAUCGACGGCGGUGUUUGGCACCUCGAUGUCGGCUCAUCACAUCCUGGGGCUGAAGUAGGUCCCAAGGGUAUGGCUGUUCGCCAUUUAAAGUGGUACGCGAGCUGGGUUUAGAACGUCGUGAGACAGUUCGGUCCCUAUCUGCCGUGGGCGCUGGAGAACUGAGGGGGGCUGCUCCUAGUACGAGAGGACCGGAGUGGACGCAUCACUGGUGUUCGGGUUGUCAUGCCAAUGGCACUGCCCGGUAGCUAAAUGCGGAAGAGAUAAGUGCUGAAAGCAUCUAAGCACGAAACUUGCCCCGAGAUGAGUUCUCCCUGACUCCUUGAGAGUCCUGAAGGAACGUUGAAGACGACGACGUUGAUAGGCCGGAUGUGUAAGCGCAGCGAUGCGUUGAGCUAACCGGUACUAAUGAACCGUGAGGCUUAACCUU